UUCUGGGUAAUUUCUGUUUCCUUACUCCCUGCCCCGCUUCUUCCUGUCAUCUGACCUAUGCUAAAUAUCUUGGACAAUGGUUGUGUGUGUGUGUGUGUGUGUGUGUGUGUGUGUGUGUGUUUAGUAUUGAUUGUUAACUUUCAG